rnacentral:rRNA from 1 species
UACGUAGGGUGCGAGCGUUGUCCGGAAUUAUUGGGCGUAAAGAGCUCGUAGGCGGUUUGUUGCGUCUAUCGUGAAAACCUGCAGCUUAACUGUGGGCUUGCGGUGGAUACGGGCAGACGUUGAGUUCGGUAGGGGAGACUGGAAUUCCUGGUGUAGCGGUGAAAUGCGCAGAUAUCAGGAGGAACACCGGUGGCGAAGGCGGCUCUCUGGGACGGUACUGACGCUGAGACGCGAAAGCGUGGGGAGCGAACAGG